AGCGAACGCUGGCGGCAGGCUUAACACAUGCAAGUCGAGCGGGCGUAGCAAUACGUCAGCGGCAGACGGGUGAGUAACGCGUGGGAACGUGCCCUUUGGUUCGGAACAACACAGGGAAACUUGUGCUAAUACCGGAUAAGCCCUUACGGGGAAAGAUUUAUCGCCGAAGGAUCGGCCCGCGUCUGAUUAGAUUGUUGGUGAGGUAACGGCUCACCAAGGCUACGAUCAGUAGCUGGUCUGAGAGGACGAUCAGCCACACUGGGACUGAGACACGGCCCAGACUCCUACGGGAGGCAGCAGUGGGGAAUAUUGGACAAUGGGGGCAAUCCUGAUCCAGCCAUGCCGCGUGAGUGAUGAAGGCCCUAGGGUUGUAAAGCUCUUUCGGCGGGGAAGAUAAUGACGGUACCCGCAUAAGAAGCCCCGGCUAACUUCGUGCCAGCAGCCGCCGUAA
rnacentral:rRNA from 1 species